UUAGACAUGUGACUGGAGCAGAAGAUGUAUCGAUGGUUUUAGACAUGUGACCUGAGCAGAUGUAUGGAUGGUUAUAUAGACAUGUGACUUGAGCAGAAGAUGUAUGGAUGGUUAUAGACAUGUGACUUGAGCAGAAGAUGUAUGGAUGUUUAUAUAGACAUGUGACUUGAGCAGAAGAUGUAUGGAUGGUUAUAUAGACAUGCGACUUGAGCAGAAGAUGUAUGGAUGGUUAUGUAGACAUUCGACUGCAGCAGUAGAUGUAUAGAUGGUUAUACAUUUGACUGCAGCAGAAGAUGUAUGGAUGGUUAUGUAGACAUUCGACUGCAGCAGAAGAUGUAUGGAUGGUUAUAUAGACAUUCGACUGCAGUAGAAGAUGUAUGAUACUUACAUUUUUUGUCUCAUCUUCCAUUCUCUCAUUCUUGUACCUCUUUCGUCCCGAUGGCCUCUUUUUGAGGCGUCAUAUUCCAUCCUCUCAUUCUCGUACAGCUUUCGGCCGAUGGCAUCUCUAGAAACUGGAAACUGAAAAGUCCAUGCGAAUGCUCGGUUUUAUUAAACGUUCAUGUAAAAGUUUUUCCCAAGUUAAUGUUUUAAGAUCUUUAUACAUCAGCCAUGUAAGGAGUACUGUUGUCAGAUCUGGUCACCUCUCCAAACUUAAUUCACCAAAUCGAAGCUGUUCAGCCAAAGUUUGAGAUUUUUAUAUUCUAAGGCACAUGUUGACUUCAUUUCAUUGUCUUUCACUGAAAUUUACAAGUAUUUCAAUCUCUCCAGCUUGGAACAUAGACGAUUAUUUUGAGACGGUGUAUUUCUUUUUAAUUUAAAUGUGUAAAUAGUGUUUUUGAUUGUCCAUAUUUAGUCGAGUAAAUGUGUUUUUUAGUACAUGGUCGUAAUCUACGAUCUUCUCGAUGAAUUCAAUUUUACUGCCAGGGAAGUUGAAAUGUUAGAAAAUAUAGUGUUUUAAACAGAACUCGGUCAAAUGUUAACUCACUUGAUCAUGUUUCAGACUGUGAUGUUUUAUUUGUGUCUCGCCACAUUUAAAGCAUGACUCAUGAAUGCCUUUUACCAUUAGUUCCAUAUUUUGUACAUCUAAUAGUUCUAUGUUUCAUGUGACUGAUAUUUAUUCUUGUGUGUUAUAUUUGUUAUCCAUUCUAUAAGUGGACCUCCGGGUCUGUAGUGGACCUCCGGGUCUGUAGAAUUUGAAAUUGAAAUAAAUCGGACUUGUUCGGCAAGGACAAAGGAUGUUGAACGAAAACCUCAUCUAAACUUUAAACAGCAUCAGAUACAUUUUUCAAAAGAAUUCAACCAAUCACAAGCAGGAAUUUUGUGAAAGAAGUAUUUGGGAAAAUAAAGAUGGGCAAUAUAGGAAAGACUGCAAGAAAUAACAGUAUCAUCACCCAAUUAGGAAACCAGUGGAUGGAGAAGAAUUGGAAUAAUUUGAAGAGAGCCAGCUAUCCAUCAGAAAUUGUUGGUAGAUUACUGCUUAAUUUAAAAAAAAACUUUGAAACUGAUUCCAUUAGGUCCUAAUGGUAAAGAGUCAAGUCCUUAUCUGAAACCUGAACAUUUUGAUGCAAUUGUGGAGGCCACCUUAUUGGUUGCAUCUCCUUCAGUCGAAGAUGACGACAAUCCCAAGCACCCAAGCAAUGCAAUUAAACUUGGCUUUGACACUAAGCGUAUGAUUUCUGGAAAAUUUGGUCUGGUAAUAAUACAGAGAGACCAAAAAACACAUGGUGAAGCGGAAGACCUCCUGCAGGCAAUGGCAAUCUACUGGGCAACAGGAGUAACAAAAUGGCCAAGGUUUUUCUGCAGCAGAGGAUGUAUAGGAAAAGUCACAAACUUCCAGAGCCUGAUGACAUUAACAAGCUCAAUGUACAAUCAAAGCCGACCUGGAGAGCUCCAGGCUAUUGGAUUGACAAGACUACAAAGAGUGACAAGAGGAGGAAGAUGUCGAGCAUUUGAUUGGAGAUUGUACAACAUUUGAAAAGAAACUGUGGAGAACCAGGUGGUUAUCACAGUGUAAGGAAAGGUGCACAGAUGAUGUCUUAGAAAAAACAAAUAGCCAAGAUACUACUACAAGACCGUGUGGGAGAGUUUCGGAUAAAUCCCUACAAGACAUCCAAAUAGAAGGCCUUAUCCAAGAGUCAUCAUUCGCUGAACUGGAUGAAAAUGAGGAUUUACACAUGACAUCACCAGACAUUGUAGGUGCCAUUGAGCCAUGUGAUUUUUGUGUUGGAUAUCGCCAAAAAAUUUGAAUACAUAUCGAAGCCCAUAAAAAAUACGAAAGUCUGCUGCUCUUCAAGAAACAGAAAAAUAAGACCAACACCACAUCAAUGUGGGAAAGCAAUUGACCCAAGCAGGGUUAAUGAUGGAAAAAUUUUGGAAAAGAAAAAUUGAAGAUGUACUGGAAAAAAAACUUUCAUAAUUGUGGAUAAACUGAAUGCAGGUCGGAAACUCUAAAACUCUUUGAUGCUAUUUCUGCUGUUCUAAUUUGUAGAAAAGCUGAUUGUGGGUCAGAAACCUACAAGAGAUUGUCUUGUCAUCAUUGGGGAGCAGUUUGUAGAUGAUGGAUUGAUCAAAGUUCUAAUGUGAAGUCAUUUAUUACCAACUUUUUAUUAACAUUGUCAAACAUGGCUCUUUAUGUUAAUACUUAAUUUUGACCACUUGAUUUGUAUCAUAAAUUUUUAACAUCUUGUGCAUCCGUUGUCAUUCCUUCAUGCAACAAUCUUGAAUAAACUAGGAUCAAGGUGUGUGUAUAUAUAUCAUAGUACAGUUUUGUAUAGAAUAUAUAUAUAUUCGUUUUGUAUAUAUUUAUAAUGUACAGCUCCAUUUUGUGGAGAACUUUUAUACACAAAACAUUCAAUGGAGUUACUUCUAUUUUUCAAAUUGUUGAUACCAAAAAUAUAAAUGAUUAAAAGUAUUUUUAAACGUCAAGAAAGAGCAAAUGCAGAUUUGUAUCUUGCAUGAAUUGUCUCUUGAUGAAAAAUCACCUGCAAGCAUUGAAACAGUGAUUAGUUUUUAAUCAAAAGGAAGAAAAAUGUGCUUAUACUUUGUCAAUAACCAGUACGAUUUUUACAUUGACUUGACCAAGGAUGGAUGAAUUUCUAAGUUUGCAGUAUUUCAAUAUGCUCAGUAUUUAAAAAUUCCUGUCAAGAAUGUUUGAUCAAAUGGAAGACCUUGUUCCAUUUUCAAGGUCACAGGGAUAAAUGUUUAAUAAUCUUUAAAUGGAUUUCUUAAUAUCCAAAAAGUUCUGAUAACCGGCCCGUAGUAUGCUGGAAUGAAUUACCAAUUAUGUUCAUGUUAUUCAUAUUUUCACUUUUUAAAGGUCACAAGGGUCAAAUUUGUUGCAAUCUUUAAUUUAUUGACUUCUUGUCAAUAACAAAAAGGUCAAGGCUGUUGAAACUGGUUUUUCAAUGUUCGUGGAUGAAGGACAAUCGUUUUCAAAUUGACCUUGACCUUUGUUAAAGAUCUCUUUGAUUUUUUUUUUCAAUAAGCAAUAGGUUCGGAAUAAUGGCAUUUGUGUAGUAGCAUGUAUAAAUAUGAUUUUAAGUUUGCAGAAAAUGUU